rnacentral:rRNA from 1 species
UACGGAGGGUGCAAGCGUUGUCCGGAUUCACUGGGUUUAAAGGGUGCGUAGGUGGGUAGUUAAGUCAGUGGUGAAAUCCCCGAGCUUAACUUGGGAACUGCCAUUGAUACUAUUUGUCUUGAAUACUGUGGAGGUUAGCGGAAUAUGUCGUGUAGCGGUGAAAUGCUUAGAUAUGACAUAGAACACCAAUUGCGAAGGCAGCUGGCUACACAAAUAUUGACACUGAUGCACGAAAGCGUGGGGAUCAAACAGG